ACGGGAGGCAGCAGUGGGGAAUAUUGCACAAUGGGCGCAAGCCUGAUGCAGCGACGCCGCGUGAGGGAUGACGGCCUUCGGGUUGUAAACCUCUUUCAGCAGGGAAGAAGCGAAAGUGACGGUACCUGCAGAAGAAGCGCCGGCUAACUACGUGCCAGCAGCCGCGGUAAUACGUAGGGCGCAAGCGUUGUCCGGAAUUAUUGGGCGUAAAGAGCUCGUAGGCGGCUUGUCGCGUCGGUUGUGAAAGCCCGGGGCUUAACCCCGGGUCUGCAGUCGAUACGGGCAGGCUAGAGUUCGGUAGGGGAGAUCGGAAUUCCUGGUGUAGCGGUGAAAUGCGCAGAUAUCAGGAGGAACACCGGUGGCGAAGGCGGAUCUCUGGGCCGAUACUGACGCUGAGGAGCGAAAGCGUGGGGAGCGAACAGGAUUAGAUACCCUGGUA
rnacentral:rRNA from 1 species